rnacentral:tRNA from 1 species
UCCGAAUUGGUGUAGUGGUUAACAUUUGACGCUCUCAAAGAUUAACCGAUCUUAUGGAUCCGUCAAGCCCGGGGUUCGAUUCCCCGAUUCGGAG